rnacentral:miRNA from 1 species
UCGAUCGCGGUUCGAGUGCUC